rnacentral:rRNA from 1 species
UUUGGCAGCGGUCCAAGUUCCCUUGGAACAGGACGUCACAGAGAGUGAGAAUCCGUAUGUGGUCGCUAGCUAUUGCCGUGUAAAGCCCCUUCGCCGAGUCGAGUUGUUUGGGAAUGCAGCUCUAAAUGGGAGGUAAAUUUCUUCUAAAGCUAAAUAUUGGCCAGAGACCGAUAGCGCACAAGUAGAGUGAUCGAAAGAUGAAAAGCACUUUGGAAAGAGAGUCAAACAGCACGUGAAAUUGUUGAAAGGGAAGCGCUUGCAGCCAGACUUGCUUGCAGUUGCUCAUCCGGGCUUUUGCCCGGUGCACUCUUCUGUAGGCAGGCCAGCAUCAGUUUGGGCGGUGGGAUAAAGGUCUCUGUCACGUACCUCUCUUCGGGGAGGCCUUAUAGGGGAGACGACAUACCACCAGCCUAGACUGAGGUCCGCGCAUCUGCUAGGAUGCUGGCGUAAUGGCUGUAAGCGGCCCGUCUUGAAACACGGACCAAGGAGUCUAACAUCUAUGCGAGUGUUUGGGUGUCAAGCCCGAGCGCGUAAUGAAAGUGAACGGAGGUGGGAACCCGCAAGGGUGCACCAUCGACCGAUCCUGAAGUUUACGGAAGGAUUUGAGUAAGAGCAUGGCUGUUGGGACCCGAAAGAUGGUGAACUAUGCUUGAAUAGGGUGAAGCCAGAGGAAACUCUUGUGGAGGCUCGCAGCGGUUCUUACGUGCAAAUCGAUCGUCA